UACAGAGGGUGCGAGCGUUAAUCGGAAUUACUGGGCGUAAAGCGCACGUAGGUGGCUCUACAAGUCGAGUGUGAAAUCCCCGGGCUUAACCUGGGAACUGCAUUCGAGACUGUAUUGCUAGAGUAUGGGAGAGGGAAGUGGAAUUUCCGGUGUAGCGGUGAAAUGCGUAGAUAUCGGAAGGAACAUCAGUGGCGAAGGCGACUUCCUGGACCAAUACUGACACUCAAGUGCGAAAGCGUGGGGAGCAAACAGG
rnacentral:rRNA from 1 species